rnacentral:rRNA from 1 species
GCAGGAAGUUGUUUGUGGCUACGCGGUAAGACGGGAGUGGAGAACACAAGGUCAUGUCGUUGUGAGUGUCCUGCGUUGAUAAGCUUGUUGAGAUCAAAGGACAAUGGCUGCUACAUAGCAGAGCCCCGGGAGCAACACAACCACUCAAUGUCGUCGACGUAUGGCCAAAUAAUACACCGGCCAUCACACAAUCAUAUACAUUUAUACAAUAGGAAUUUGGUGAAACAGCUCCGGCAAAACAACGGGAACCUAGCGAAGGUCUGCAGUGUUAUAGGCGGCUUCUUUGAAUCCAUGGAGAAGCUACCUUUCACAAAGAGGGCACUGAAAAAUUUGUAUGGUUAGAUAAGCCGUGAGCAAGCUGAGGAUGAUGUUUGGAAAACAAUGGAAGUUCUUGGAGAGCUUGGUGCGAGAGAUCCAGACUUCACGUACCGUGUGCAAUAUGACAAGGAUAGCAGGAUCACAUCAUUGAUGUGGGCAAAUGGAAGUAGUAGAUUGCAGUACACGUUCUUCGUCGGUGUUGUUACAUUUGACAUGACUUAUAGGACAAACAUGUAA